rnacentral:tRNA from 1 species
AGCCAACUGGAAGAUGCACGUAAGCAGAUUACUGCUGAGCGUGAAACCCGUCUGGCAGUAGCACAGGCUGAAUCUGC